rnacentral:lncRNA from 1 species
CUCAAUCCAACCCUGAAUUUCUCUUUACAUCCUAAUACAGUCAAAUGUGAUAUAAUUUGUAAUGUAUUGUGCUAUUAUCAAUCACUUCUGUAUUAUGGCCCCGUUUGAUAGGGAUUUUGAUAAUUGAUUUUUUGACCGUUAGAAGAAAGGUGGGGUCCACAUGUGAGAGAAGAAGUCAAAAAUUACGACUUGAAUAGUAAAAUAACGGUCAAAAAAUUAAUUUUUUGGGACAAAAAAUCCCUACCAA